rnacentral:rRNA from 1 species
CCUUGCGCUAAAGGAGCGGCUGAUGUCUGAUUAGCUAGUUGGUGGGGUAAAGGCUUACCAAGGCAACGAUCAGUAGCUGGUCUGAGAGGACGACCAGCCACACUGGGACUGAGACACGGCCCAGACUCCUACGGGAGGCAGCAGUGGGGAAUUUUGGACAAUGGGCGAAAGCCUGAUCCAGCCAUGCCGCGUGAGUGAAGAAGGCCUUCGGGUUGUAAAGCUCUUUUAGUCSGAAAGAAAGAGUCAUAGUAAAUAGCUAUGAUUUAUGACGGUACCGACAGAAAAAGCACCGG